UGAAUGAAUCAAGAACACGUCUUUUACCUCAGCCUUAGCAGAAGAAACUCACGUCUUGGGGUUGCAUGUACAAUUUCGACUAUUUUGAAAGUCUAAAAUCGAGGAUUAAGCUAAAUGGAUAGAGAGAAAGUCAAACGAAUGACAUAUGGAAAUCACGUGACUUGACUAAACAGAAUUGUAGUCUCCGUGAAUAGGAUUGAUUUUCAGGACUUGAAAAAUAUGGUCUUUAUUUGAUUGACAGAGGAAUCCCAACUUCAACGUAGUUAUCGUAUCCAGUCCGAUGAAAACACAGGGUUCCCAGGUUAAGAAUGGAGAAUGGAAUGGACUAACGGCGAUACAUUGGCCAUCUUGAAUCGCAAGGUAUUAUGGGGUGUUCAGGGGGCAAAUAAAUCUUACAGUAAUGACGUCAGUCGAUUGAUAGUAACAGCUCUUCACAAGAGAAUACAAAGAUAAAUCAAGACGCCACAUCCAUCCCCUUUACAUAACAGAAAAACAAUCACACGAAACUCUAGAUAUUUUACGUCAUCUUUGUUUUGUUUUGCCCCCUGGCAAGAUGGCCGCCGUAUCAUCGAAGUAGUUCAUAAACCCUUUAGUGCUAACAAAUCUUUGGGAACCCUGUGCUUUCGACUCGGAACACAACGUGGCACAUUAGAUUCAAGUAUAAAGACCCACAUUAAGAUUUAUUUGGAUGUGAUAAAGAUGCGCUAGCAAGACUUUCUAACUCAGAAGAUAUCAUCAGGAAGGUACUGGUAUCAUCUACCAUUAUCAAGUGAUACGACUUAUACUUUAUAUCGUCACCUCUGUCGUCUUCUCAGGAUCGCGUUUGUUUUAGUUAAUACAUGUAGCAUACCAAGUGAUGUUCAUUGAUCGUCGUCAUUCGUCUUCUUAAGGAAAUUUAUUUUAUUAUUAAUUGGAUGUGAUUUCCUAAUUGAUGCUCAUUUCAUCAUCAUUAUUAGCAUUGUCAACAUCGUCGUUAUUAUCAACGUCUUCUCAGGAAUUUUUACGCUGUCAURUAUUGGCUAUACCUUGAUGGUGCUCAUCAUCAUCAUCAUCGCGUCUUUGUUGCCAUCUUCUAGGGAAGUUGGUGUAUUCCAUCAUCUUUUGGAUCAGUGGUAUACAAAGUGAUUCCCGUCGUCAUAACCACCAUCAUUGCGAUUGCAUGAUAUCCUCGUCACUGCAUGGUAUCAUCAUCACAGCUUUGCCUUCUUCAUGUUAUGAAUGUGUUACAUCAAGUGAUACUCAUUACCAUCGUCGUUAUUUCUUGUACAAGGAUAUAUUAAUCAAGUAUCAUCAUCGUCAAGUAUCAUUGAUAUUCAUCAUCGUCAAAGGGAUUUUUCUACCAUUCUUUAUCGGGAGUUUGCGGUGAGACAACAACCAUCCAAGUAAUCUAGGAUUGAUCACAUCUAAACAAGUGCAUCAUCUACUAAAUAAGAAUAUGUCAUCAUCAAGUCUGCAGUCAAUCCUUAUACUACCAUCAAUUUCUUCGUUGUCGUCUUGUGGCUUUUUUGGAUCGCGUCAUUACUGAUCUGCGAAAAUUUAUUAGUGAGAUAUGAAAGUAUGGUGUGUGUGAUAAUCAUAAUCGUCGUCGUGGGCUUUAUUCUUGGAAUUCAUUGAUUCGCAGUCCCGUCUUUUUAAAAAUAUACAGGAGUUACGUGAUGGAAAUUAUGACUAUCUUUAUCACUAUUAUGAUCUCCACCGUCAACAUCGUCUUGGAUUGUCAUAUUUCCUUUCAAAGUCCACUGAACUGAGGAUGACACUGUGUCAUAAUAAUACAUCAGAUAAAAACUACGUUAUCAUCAGCAUCAUCAUCAUCAUCACUAUUUUCGUCAUCAUCUUUCCUCUUUUUAUUUUCGCUGAACUGCGUAUAGAUAUCCACGUUGCUGAGGUCCAGAUUCAUUUGUAGGCUCAUUGCGCCUGUUUUUUCCUCGAUACCAGUAACCUCACGAUAAAACGGCAUGCUCAUUGGACCCGUGUGCUUCAUGGCACUACCCUUCGCACUACCCUUCGCAUUGGGCACUCUGAUUGGUGCAGUUGUCCCUUCACUGGUAAAUUCACUCACAAUGUCUUCUCCUUUCUCUAUGUCUUCAGGAUAUUCAUCAUCAUUGGCUUUUUGUUCUUGAAAAUCAGAUCGCGUGCAUACCGUCCACCAGUGGUCCUGCAACGAAAACGCCGCGAAAGUGAAGAAAUAGAAAAGGCGCGCGCGUGCUGUGUGCAGAUAUAAAGCACGCGGGGAUUGACAGAACACGAGAUAAGUGUUAGGAGAUACACGACACGUAGCGGAGUACUUUCUGACACUUCUCGAGUGUUCUGCCAAUCCCAAGUGCUUUAUAACUCCAUACAGCACAGCAAGCAAGUUUUUUAUUUCUUUUAUAAAAUGCAAAGGGCGCGUGCGUGCUGUGUGCUGUGUGCUCUCAUAAAGCACGCGCUCCCAACCAAUCAGAAUGCGAGAUUUAUAACAGUUAUUUCAUAAAUUGAUUUACGCGGCUUUUGACUUUAAAAUUAUACUGGAAACUGUCGUCUCUUCAAACGUUUUCAUCUCUUUUGAAUCAUCAAUUUAUCAACGAGUGAUGUCAUCGUUCUCAUCAACUUUCGUAAAGAAAGUAUUUUUGAAAUAGAUUCUCUGGUUGAUGACACUUUUCUGUCAUUUCAAUCAUAGAUAUAUAGACCCCUUGCAGCACGUCGGAAUGCAGCUCAAUUUGGAGGACAUAAGAAUAGGUUUCCAAUUCUCUUGAGAUUGAACUAGUUUUUUUCCCCUCCAAAUUGAGCUCCUUUGACGUCACAUGCAAAUGGUCUAUCCAGAAGUGAUAUUACUGUACAAUUUUGUUGUAGAAAAAGAAUCUCGGCUUGUUUACUAUAAAGGGAUAGUAUUAACUUACACAUAGGGCGAUAUCCCAUCCUGAGCCCAUGGUAUUAUCAGCGGUAAUAUUGGUUCGUGAUUUUAUAGCUCCUUCAUGACAUACAUACAACUGAAAUCCAAAUAAAGAAAGGUAAUUGAGA